ensembl:snRNA U6 U6 spliceosomal RNA
GUGCUUGCUUCAGCAGCACAAAUAUCCCAAAUUGGAAUGAUAAAGAGAAGAUUAGCAUGGCCUCUGGACAAGGAUGACAUGCAAAACUUUGUGACGUGUCUGAUAUUUUU